GAUAUACUCCCUCCGUUCCGAAUUACUUGUCGCGGGUAUGGAUGUAUCUAGAUGUAUUUUAGUUCUAGAUACAUCUAUUUCUGCGACAAGUAAUUUGGAACGGAGGGAGUAGUUG
rnacentral:pre_miRNA from 1 species